CAAACCGAGCUCAUUUCCCCUUUUAAUUCCGGUUACUUUUCUUUGUCUUUUCCAAAUACAACAAAACAUACAGCUCCAGUACACACCCUAUACCUACAUACGCGUCUUCUUCCUCACGCUCGCUCAAAGACAAACGCAACCUACAACACCAACAGCUCUUUCCCUACAAAAAACCCCAAAUGCGUCGGAUUUGAAGGUCAUCCAUCCCCCUCAAGUCAAAUAUUGGAGCAGGUAAUCCUAUCCCUUUGUCAUCUUUUUCCUCCUACUUUUCUUAAUCUGUGAUAUUUUGAAUUCAAACAAGAUCUUGGAGAAGAUUUUCUCCUCUCUCAAACGGCUCUUUUGAAAUUCAAGCACUAUUUUCGGCUAUAAAUUGUUCACUCAUUUCCAUUGAGAAGGGGGAAAUGGUAGAGAGAACUUGGGAAAUAUUGGAGUUCUCCAUACUUUUUCAUGCACUAAUUUAUCUAUUGUUCUUUUUGCUUUCUCUGAUUUCCGACCCAAUCGCUCCGCUCUUGUUGUCUUCUUUACUAGCACUCUAAAUUGAUAUGGAAAUUAUCCACUCAACUUGUCGUCUCAAGUUCACUGCCCAGAGAAAGGCCUAAAUGGCUAGAGAAUCAGUAGUCAACAGCAGCCGUCCAAAUAAUGAAGGAAGCAAUAAACUGAUGCGGAGGGUGCAAUCAACUUGAGAUCAUCCAUUUCUUUUCUCUCUCUCUCUCUCUACAUAUAUAUAUCUUUCCUUGCCUUUUAAUUUCAUGAUAUUUGUUGCUAACCCUUUUAACAUUUUUAUUAACUUAGAUGAAUCCUUGGGAGAUUUUUAUUUGUCACUUUUUAACUAUUUCAUUAUUCAUUUACUUUAA